rnacentral:rRNA from 1 species
GACGAACGCUGGCGGCGUGCUUAACACAUGCAAGUCGAACGGUGAAGCUCCAGCUUGCUGGAGUGGAUCAGUGGCGAACGGGUGAGUAACACGUGAGCAACCUGCCCCUGACUCUGGAAUAAGCGCUGGAAACGGCGUCUAAUACUGGAUACGAGAAGGGUCCGCAUGGGCACUUUCUGGAAAGUUUUUCGGUUGGGGAUGGGCUCGCGCCUAUCAGCUUGUUGGUGAGGUAAUGGCUCACCAAGGCGACGACGGGUAGCCGGCCUGAGAGGGCGACCGGCCACACUGGGACUGAGACACGGCCCAGACUCCUACGGGAGGCAGCAGUGGGGAAUAUUGCACAAUGGGCGAAAGCCUGAUGCAGCGACGCCGCGUGAGGGAUGACGGCCUUCGGGUUGUAAACCUCUUUCAGCAGGGAAGAAGCGAAAGUGACGGUACCUGCAGAAGAAGCACCGGCUAACUACGUG